UGCAGAAAAUAAAUCUAAACUAUGAACGCAAUAAAGUUCCAAGUUUUAAACUUGAAAAAAAAAAUGAAAAGAAAGAAAAGAGAGGUGUUGAGAGGUUUCUAAUAGGUCAAUAAAAUGACCUAUAUAUAGGAACAUAGAAAAAACACAAUAUAGAACUCGAAAAUACUGAUAAAAUUCAAAAAUUAGCAAAAUCUUGUCUGCCAUUAUUCACUUAUGCGCGCUACUUUCUUGUUUUGCCUUAUCAUUCUCGUUCAAACUCUGAUUUGUAAUCCGUUUGCGCCCGCGAACUCGAAUUGAGAUGAUCUAGAACUUUCAUUAAGACCAUAUUUCCAAAUUCAACUUCAAUAUUUCAAAAGAUUUCACUAAAGUACGAUAAAAUAUCAAAUUUUACAAGAUAAAGCAAAUUAAGCAUAAAAUAACUAUCAAACACUCAAUUCCCUACAAAAUUGACAUUAUAGGAAACAUUAAAAAUCAUAGGAAAAUUAGCAUUAUCAAUAACUGGACUCAAACAAAUGAUUCUUAAAAAAAAGUUCAACACUUAGAAAAUUUGGUUAGCACUUCAAUUUCAAGUAACUAUUUUAAAACAGGUAUCAAUUCUUACCUAGAGUUCCAAUGGAGAUUUCAAAUGUCAUUCUGGAAACUACACACUAAAAGGUUCAAUCUCCAAUUUGAAUCAACUAAAACAUAGUUCAAACAAAGAAGUUAUGGCUUCUCAAAGAUGGCUUUUAAUAAGAGAAAUUCUGAAAAUUCAAAUUUCCCACUUUUGGAUUCGGUUAAAAGACUGUUUUCAAAAGUCCAUAUCUCCCAAUUAUGGUUGUGCAUCGGUCGGUUCGGCCCACCGACCGACCCAAAAAACACAAACCGAUUGACCGACGGUUUGGAUGAUUUAUGGACCGAACUGACCGAAGUUUUAAGAUCAGCCGGUCAAAAACCAAGCCAUCGAAAUAUUCGGUUUUCAGCCGACCGAACCGAGCCGAAAAGUUGGAGGCCUCGCGGUGGUGAAGAAGAGCGGUUACAGGUGAGGCGACGGCGCAAGGG
rnacentral:lncRNA from 1 species